rnacentral:lncRNA from 1 species
ACGAGGCGCUCGUCGCAGAAGCCGAGCGUCCAGCGCGCAAAGCUGGCUGGUCCAGCGGGAGCGGCGGCGGCGGGCAGGUCUCGGGCUAGCAUGGAGACCAGGCUGCCGCCUGACAGACCAAGCGCGAAGCGGCCACGGUCCCCUUCCAGGCAGCUCGCGGCCCGCUGCGCCACCAGCUGCGCCAGCGACGCGCCCAGCUCUUGCGGGCUGGAGAAGACCGAGAUGAGACUGGGCGCGGGUGCUGCCAUGGCGGUGGGGAGGCGGCGGCGCUCCCGGCAGAGGCCAGUACGCCAGUGCGCCUGCGCGACGGCCGCGCUGCCAUGGGUCCGAGCACUUUGAGCCAAGGUCGUGGCGCAUGUGCAGUUGCACAAAAGAAGCGUCGCCGGGGCCGGGCUAGCGGGUGGUUCCCGAAACCGCAGUGCUCCGCAGGGCUUUGAGGUGGGUAGUGGGCGGGCAGUCCCCGGCGCUUCCCUGGGCGAGACACGCCUUGCUGGCCCGGUUUCUCGCAUUUUAUUUAGUUUUUAAGCUGGAGUCUAGUAGCUCCGACUGGCCUCACGCUCCUGAUCGUUCUUGAUUGGAGUGCUGGGGUGACCGGAGUGCCACAGCACUCUUGAGCGUUUUUCAGGGUGCGGUCGGAAGCACAGAGUGCGCCAGCUGCAGCGUGAUAAGGUCAGUAAGCUCUCAGGUGGCAAGGACAGGAGGCUAGCCGGGAGUUAGAGGCUGUGACGUCCCCAUGCCUGCACGGCUCUCCCCACAUUCGCCUAUCUCGGCCAGUCGCCCCUUCUCUGUUACUCCAGCGGAUGCGGCAGUUUGUAAGGUCUUCUGCUCACAGCUGUCUGCGGCAGAAAGAGGAUUCCUCAAGACAACCGCCACACGACAGUUGAACAUCUGCAUUUGAAUGUGAAACUGCCCCGGUUCUUGUGCUUGAGCCGGUGGCUCCCAGUCGCCCGUGCUAUUUUAGGAAAAUACAGAACCUUUAGGACUGUUAAGAGCCUUGACCCAAGUAGAUCAGUCAGAAGGUGACAGCUGUUUCCACCACAAAGACCCAAUUAAACCCCCUCUGGUUCCUCUCUCUUAAUUUUCUCCCGCAUGUAUAUCUUUGAACCAAGUGCAUGCAGAGGCCAGGAGAGGGCAUGGGAUGCCCUGGAACUGUUAGAUGGUUGUGGUCCUCUGUGUGGAAGGAGGGUAAAAAGCCGAACCGGUGAUCUUAACCCCUGAGCCACUGCACCCUCCUGAACUCGAGAGAGCUCCAAAAUCCAAGCAGUCAGUCACUGUGUCGGUACUGAACCCAGGGCCUUCUGCAUGCUAAGCCCAGGCUAGACCAUUGGCUGGACCCCAAUCCUAAACCUACAGCCUUUCUGAGUGCCCAUGUGAGGCUGCAAGUGGCAAGUUAUACAGUGUGAAACACUGCAAGAACUUUGUUGUUAUUCAAGACAUGCUGCUGCUGCUGCUGCUGCCCUGACUGUCCUGGAACUCUGUGGACCAGGCUGUCCUCCAACUCACAGAGACCUGCCUGCCUCUCCUUCCCAAGUGCUGGGAUUAAAGGCAUGUGCCUUUGAACACAUUUU